rnacentral:rRNA from 1 species
AAACCAACAGGGAUUGCCUCAGUAACGGCGAGUGAAGCGGCAAAAGCUCAAAUUUGAAAUCUGAGGCUUUCAGCCCCCGAGUUGUAAUUUGAAGAUGGUGUUCUGGUGCCGGCCCCCUGUCUACGUUCCUUGGAACAGGACAUCACAGAGGGUGAGAAUCCCGUCUGGCGGGGCGGCCUGGCUCCGUGUAGAGCGCCAUCGACGAGUCGAGUUGUUUGGGAAUGCAGCUCUAAGUGGGUGGUAAAUUCCAUCUAAAGCUAAAUAUUGGCGAGAGACCGAUAGCGAACAAGUACAGUGAUGGAAAGAUGAAAAGAACUUUGAAAAGAGAGUGAAAAAGUACGUGAAAUUGUUGAAAGGGAAGGGUAUUGGAUCAGACUUGGUGCUGUGCGAAUAGCGGCCCUUCUUGGGCUGCCCACUCGCACUCCACCGGGCCAGCAUCGGUUUGGGCGGCAAGACAAUGGCGGCGGAACGUGGCACUGCUCUCGGGCAGUGUGUUUAUAGCCCCCGCUGAUGUUGCCUGCCUAGACCGAGGACUGCGGCUCUGCCUAGGAUGCUGCG